rnacentral:rRNA from 1 species
AACGAACGCUGGCGGCAUGCCUAACACAUGCAAGUCGAACGAGACCUUCGGGUCUAGUGGCGCACGGGUGCGUAACGCGUGGGAACCUGCCCUUAGGUUCGGAAUAACUCCCCGAAAGGGGUGCUAAUACCGGAUAAUGUCUUCGGACCAAAGAUUUAUCGCCUUUGGAUGGGCCCGCGUUGGAUUAGCUAGUUGGUAGGGUAAAAGCCUACCAAGGCGACGAUCCAUAGCUGGUCUGAGAGGAUGAUCAGCCACACUGGGACUGAGACACGGCCCAGACUCCUACGGGGAGGAGCAGUGGGGAAUAUUGGACAAGGGGCGAAGGCCUGAUCCAGCAAUGCCGCGUGAGUGAUGAAGGCCUUAGGGUUGUAAAGCUCUUUUACCCGGGAUGAUAAUGACAGUACCGGGAGAAUAAGCUCCGGCUAACUCCGUG